ACUUAUUUUGUUCGCAAUUUAGGAUCGGGGGGACAGUGGCGAACGGGUGAGUAACGCGUAAGCAAUCUGCCCUUAACUGCGGAAUAACUCUUCGAAAGAGGCGCUAAUACCGCAUGUGGCCCCCUGAUGGCAUCAUCGGGGGGUUAAAGAUGUGUCUCGCUUGCGGGAUAUGUCGGUUAGGGAUGAGCUUGCGUCCUAUUAGCUUGUUGGUAGGGUAAUGGCCUACCAAGGCUCUGAUGGGUAGCUGGUCUGAGAGGAUGGUCAGCCACACUGGGACUGAGACACUGCCCAGACUCCUACGGGAGGCUGCAGUCGAGAAUCAUCCGCAAUGGGCGAAAGCCUGACGGUGCGACGCCGCGUGGAGGAUGAAGGCCUUCGGGUUGUAAACUCCUUUCACUCGGGAAGAAAAAUCAUUUCGUGAAUAACGGAUGACCUGACGGUACCGGGAGAAGAAGCCCUGGCUAACUCCGUGCCAGCAGCCGCGGUAAUACGGAGAGGGCUAGCGUUGUUCGGAUUU
rnacentral:rRNA from 1 species